rnacentral:rRNA from 1 species
GUAGGGAAUUUUCCACAAUGGACGAAAGUCUGAUGGAGCAACGCCGCGUGCUGGAUGAAGGUCUUCGGAUUGUAAACAGCUUUUCUCUGUGACGACAUCGACAGUAGCAGAGGAAUAAGGAUCGGCUAACUACGUGCCAGCAGCCGCGGUCAUACGUAGGAUCCGAGCGUUACCCGGAAUUACUGGGCGUAAAGAGUUGUGUAGGUGGUUUAGUAAGCAAGAUAUGAAAGCGUCUCGCUCAACGAGAUAUCCGUAUUUUGAACUGCUAGACUUGAGUAUGAGAGAGGUAACUAGAAUUUCUGGUGUAGGGGUGACAUCCGUAGAUAUCAGAAGGAAUACCGAUGGCGUAGGCAGGUUACUGGCUCAUUACUGACACUCAGACACGAAAGCGUGGGGAGCGAACGGGAUUAGAAACCCGUGUAGUCC